rnacentral:rRNA from 1 species
CAGCAGCCACGGUAAUACGUAGGGUGCAAGCGUUAAUCGGAAUUACUGGGCGUAAAGCGUGCGCAGGCGGUUUGCUAAGACAGAUGUGAAAUCCCCGGGCUCAACCUGGGAACUGCAUUUGUGACUGGCAAGCUAGAGUGUGGCAGAGGGGGGUGGAAUUCCGCGUGUUGCAGUGAAAUGCGUAGAUAUGCGGAGGAACACCGAUGGCGAAGGCAGCCCCCUGGGCCAACACUGACGCUCAUGCACGAAAGCGUGGGGAGCAAACAGGAUUAGAUACCCCCGUAGUCCCUGUCUCUUAUAC